GUGGGUGAUGAGGGUGUGGAAGAUGAAGGUGUGGGUGAUGAGGGUGUGGAGGAUGAAGGUGUGGGUGAUGAGGGUGUGGAGGAUGAAGGUGUGGGUGAUGAGGGUGUGGAAGAUGAAGGUGUGGGUGAUGAGGGUGUGGAGGAUGAAGGU